GUGGGGAAUUUUGGACAAUGGGCGCAAGCCUGAUCCAGCAAUGCCGCGUGCAGGAAGAAGGCCUUCGGGUUGUAAACUGCUUUUGUACGGAACGAAACGGUCCGGGUUAAUACCCUGGGCUAAUGACGGUACCGUAAGAAUAAGCACCGGCUAACUACGUGCCAGCAGCCGCGGUAAUACGUAGGGUGCAAGCGUUAAUCGGAAUUACUGGGCGUAAAGCGUGCGCAGGCGGUUUUGUAAGACAGGCUUGAAAUCCCCGGGCUCAACCUGGGAAUUGCGCUUGUGAAUGGAAGGCUGGAGUGCGGCAGAGGGGGAUGGAAUUCCGCGUGUAGCAGUGAAAUGCGUAGAUAUGCGGAGGAACACCGAUGGCGAAGGCAAUCCCCUGGGCCUGCACUGACGCUCAUGCACGAAAGCGUGGGGAGCAAACAGGAUUAGAAACCCGGGUAGUCC
rnacentral:rRNA from 1 species